CUCUAAGUCAGCUGUGACCAAACGAGCUUUUUGCGCGCUUUGCUGUCGAUCGAUGUCAAGUUGUAAACAUCAAUCGAUUAUUCCUCUUCAAUAUCGACCGAUGGUCGACCUCGAUGGUCAUUUCGGGUGCUUACUCCAAAUAUCUCUAAAAUACUCUAAAAUCAUCAUUUUCCUCCAAAUCAUUCAUGAUCCUAUAAAUAUUCUAAAUAGAAUCUAUAAUAUAAUAAUUAGUAGUUAAAACAUUUAUGAACCAUGGGUAAAAGUGGGUCAAAUCCUUGUUUUAUCACUAAAAAUUUUCUUUGGCUCUUUAGCACCAUUAUGAGCCUGUGUCAGAUGAUCAAGACCCAUCAAUAUUAAAAAUUUCUUUUUGGUAUUUCUGAUAUUAGUAUUGUAUGUCUAGCCAUUUUGAUGUACAAACUGUGACUUAUUUUUUGGUCAAGUACAAAGUGUGAGUUUUAAAACAUACAUAUUUAAGCUUGUUUACAAGUAGGAUUAUUAAGAACUUAUUUAUCUUCUUUUACCAAACUUAGAAAUUGAUAUUUAUCGGAGCUUAUUCGAUAUUUUAUUUUCUAUGAUAUCUUCUGGAAAUUUUCUUUUUAUAUUGUGCUUUGUUUCGCAUGUAUUAUGACAAAUUUUUUGGCUUGUUAUAAUUCUUUUAUUUUGUGUCAUUUCAUUUUUUUAUGAAAUUUAAAAUAUUUGAAAUAAUGAAGUAUAGUUUAUUUGAAAAGGUAUAUUAGAAUAAUUUGUUAUUUUAUUUUAGUUUUUUUUUUAAAUUAUAUUUUUCUUGUUAUGGCAACCAAUGUUCUAAAACAUUGGUAUAUGCAAUGAUUAGUCAUCCGUUUAAAUGGUAAAUCAAUUAUAGGUUACGAUUUCUUUUAAUUCAAUUUAUGCAAUUUAAAUCAGUUUAAAUAAUUAUAAAUCGGUUAAAAUUGAUCUAAAUCAAUAUAAAUUUGUCUAAAUCUAUUAAAUCAAGUAAUAAUAUUACUGUAUAUCCAUAAUUUUGUUUACAUUUUUAUUAAUAUUUAAAUUUAAAAUUAUGAAAAUAAUUUUAUAAUUAAAUUCACCAAAUAAUAUCUAAUCUAACCUAUACUAAAAGGAUGAUAUACUCAUUAGCUGGGGUGUCCACAUCGACAAUUAAAAUCAACCAAUAGGGUUGGUUCUUUCCUCCACGUCGACACUAGCUUGGGCUGAUCUUGGGCUAUUACGUUUUUUUUAAUAUUUCGUGUUAACGCAUUCAGCCCAACUUCUUUUUUUUCCAUUGUCGUUGUCGAAUGACGAUUGAUAUUUAUGGCUUACUCGGCAAACUCUUGCCCUUCCUCUUCCAAACCAAACAAUUGCAGGCUUUAAAACUAAUGGUUCUUUGUCUCUUUCCAUAUUCUUUCGUUUAGUCUGCCCUCCCUCUCCAUAAUUUUCGUGUUUCCAGUUAUCGAACUCCUAAAAACGCGAUGACGACGACGACUUACAAGGCCAGAUCAAUUAUCUCGCAAGCGAGGUAGUCAGCUUCAUCUAUCAAUCUACUUCGUCAGCGUAGGGGAUGAUGAAGAAAAUUUCUUCUGAAGAGCAUGAUUGUUGCAAUGCAUGUGAAGAUGUUUGUAAAGCAUAUAUAAAGACAGUUUGAGGAGUAAUGAAUCCAUAUUUCAUUGACCAGGUGAAUUGCUGAUAAAAAGGUUUCAUUGUUGUUGUAGUAUCACUGAUUGCUUCAUUUCUUUCUUUUUAUAUAUUACACUUGCCUGUUUGAGGUUUUUUUGCAACGAGUAGAGGAUGAAGUAGGUGAAGGGUGUAAAAUAUAUGUGUUCUUGGAGGUGAAUAAAGUUGCGUAAAAGUUCCACUGUUGUAGUUAACCCUCUUGAGAGACAGAGUCCAGUGGAGUGUGAGAAGACUCCCUUGGCGAAGAAGUCGUUAAAUAUUCCGUUGGUGUUGGCUUAUGGACACCAUUCUUACAAGGAAGGUCCAGUUCCAAGAAGUUGAACUGGAAAGAGCAACCAGGCAGCUCAAAGAGGCGUUUCCAAUCGCUAGCCAACAAACGACAAGAUGCGCGGCAGCCCAACGAGUGAUCCAAUCACUCACCACUCAAGUAAUUUCAUAGCUAAAUAAAUAGUAAUAUGAUUUAUGCGAUUACAAGUUUUUCUUAUGUUAUAAACAUCAACAAAAUUAUGGAGCUGGAAGACAUGGCUGAAAGAUUACCAUUUGGAUCAUCUCGAAAUAUAAUGUCUCCUCCGUCUCUUACUAUUUUCUUCCUGCCCUGGUCGUGUUGACCCUUUUAAUAUCUUACACCGACCAAAUGUUCAAGCACCCGAGCAAAAUUAUGCAAAUUCCUGAUGUUUUCUAAUGGGACCAUUACACAUGUAUUUGGAAAUGGUAAAGCAUCGAUUAAAGCACAGAACGACAAGGGAUGGUUGAACAGGAUGAGCUUGGUUUCUACAUCAGUCAAACGUGUCCGUUUCAGCCGAAAAAAUUUAAGAGCAAAAUGGGAGGAACAGGGUGGCCAGACAACAUAGGAAGAGUACACGACCAAUACAAUGUAUGAAUUGUUGACAAAGCCAAUGUGGAAAUGCCUCUUUGAAACUCUUUUAACACCAACCACUUCUCUUAUUCUUCCACGCAGGGUCAGUUUGGGGGCUGAGAAUGGUGUUUGUUGUGAAAAAAGGAAGCAAAGAAUCUCUUAGAUUACCACUAGCUCAGGUUGUGUCCUCGCUCUUAUCUUCUCUGAGCUUGAAUUCUACAAUUUAAAAAAGCCAUUGCAAAAGCGAUGAAAUAAGAAUGGUAAUGAAUGGGCGAGUCUGGUGGAGAGGGCCACUGAGUUGAGCACUCCAACAAAUCGGAAAACUUCUCCAUUGGUAUCUAUUUUAUUUCAUCUCAAGUGUUGCUGUUUUUGUCAUCCAGCUUAAGGGAAAAGCAGAGUGAAAUGUGGUCAUGCUGAACAGAUAUAUAGAGGCAAAGAAGGAAAAGCUAAUAGUACCUCUUCUCUAAUAUGAAUUACUUUAUGUUGGUAUUGUAUUUGUAUUGAACCUUUGAACAGUUGCCAUAACUUGAGUAAAUAAAAUUUUUUAAAAGAA